UGCCCAGUGAUGAUACUAUCCUCAUGCUCCUUGUGCAUUUUGAGGCUGGGGGUGCCAAUAUGGCUGCCCUUGGGACAGGCCAGUUGGAUCAUUGCUUGGGGGCUGAGGGCA
ensembl:snoRNA